UUAGUAUUACCUGGUGACCUUUAGUUAUUUCUAAUAAUUACAGAGGCUGUCUGUGAUCUUAAUCCCGUGCGAAGCGGCCAUGUCUGUAAUUUGUAAAGUCAAAAUUCCCCCGCAAAUGACCUACCAUAUUUCGCCCAACACUGAGGUCCUGUGAUAAUAUUAGUCCCGUGUAAAUCAACAUGCCUGUGAUUUGACGGGACUAACUGUCUGCGUUG